UAGCACAGUGGAACCACUCCAAUCCAUUCCGAACUUGGUUGUUAAACGCUGUAGCGGCGAUAAUACUAAAAAGGUAGCUUUUUGGGAAUGUAGCUC
rnacentral:rRNA from 1 species